AUUGAACGCUGGCGGCAUGCCUUACACAUGCAAGUCGAACGGCAGCACGGGAGCAAUCCUGGUGGCGAGUGGCGAACGGGUGAGUAAAGUAUCGGAACGUGCCCAGUCGUGGGGGAUAACGUAGCGAAAGUUACGCUAAUACCGCAUACGAUCUAUGGAUGAAAGCGGGGGAUCGCAAGACCUCGCGCGAUUGGAGCGGCCGAUAUCAGAUUAGGUAGUUGGUGGGGUAAAGGCUCACCAAGCCGACGAUCUGUAGCUGGUCUGAGAGGACGACCAGCCACACUGGGACUGAGACACGGCCCAGACUCCUACGGGAGGCAGCAGUGGGGAAUUUUGGACAAUGGGCGAAAGCCUGAUCCAGCAAUGCCGCGUGCAGGAUGAAGGCCUUCGGGUUGUAAACUGCUUUUGUACGGAACGAAAAGCCCCGGGUUAAUACCCUGGGGUCAUGACGGUACCGUAAGAAUAAGCCCGGCUAACUACGUGCCAGCAGCCGCCGCGG
rnacentral:rRNA from 1 species